CUCUAUGGCCAUACCACCCUGAACGCGCCCGAUCUCGUCUGAUCUCGGAAGCUAAGCAGGGUCGGGCCUGGUUAGUACUUGGAUGGGAGACCAAUGACGAUAUUUCUUAUCACUUACU
rnacentral:rRNA from 1 species